UACAGAGGUCUCAAGCGUUGUUCGGAAUUAUUGGGCGUAAAGGGUGCGUAGGUGGUGUGGUAAGUCGGAUGUGAAAUCCCGGGGCUCAACCCCGGAACUGCAUUCGAUACUGCCUUGCUCGAGUACUGGAGAGGAGACUGGAAUUUACGGUGUAGCAGUGAAAUGCGUAGAUAUCGUAAGGAAGACCAGUGGCGAAGGCGAGUCUCUGGACAGUUACUGACACUGAGGCACGAAGGCCAGGGGAGCAAACGGG
rnacentral:rRNA from 1 species